rnacentral:lncRNA from 1 species
GAGAUUUUAAAAAUCGAGAGCGCUUGUUACCCACAGGAAGAGACAGCAAUUAGAGAUAAACCAACUGCAGAGAAGCCAUGGCAUCGGAGAGGCUGACAAGUCGCACUAAGGCCCCAACAAAGCACAACAUUUGAGAAGAAGGACAACUCACAAGACCUGCUUUAGAAUCCCUCAUAAA